AUACNUGCAAGUCGUGCGGACCUUUUAAAAGCUUGCUUUUAAAAGGUUAGCGGCGGACGGGUGAGUAACACGUGGGCAACCUGCCUGUAAGACUGGGAUAACGCCGGGAAACCGGGGCUAAUACCAGAUAGUUUUUUCUUCCGCAUGGAGGAAAAAGGAAAGGCGGCUUCGGCUGCCACUUACAGAUGGGCCCGCGGCGCAUUAGCUAGUUGGCGGGGUAACGGCCCACCAAGGCAACGAUGCGUAGCCGACCUGAGAGGGUGAUCGGCCACAUUGGGACUGAGACACGGCCCAAACUCCUACGGGAGGCAGCAGUAGGGAAUCUUCCGCAAUGGACGAAAGUCUGACGGAGCAACGCCGCGUGAGUGAAGAAGGCCUUCGGGUCGUAAAACUCUGUUGCCGGGGAAGAACAAGUGCCGUUCGAACAGGGCGGCGCCUUGACGGUACCCGGCCAGAAAGCCACGGCUAACUAC
rnacentral:rRNA from 1 species